CUCAGUUCGGACUGGAGUCUGNAACCCGACUCCACGAAGCUGGAUUCGCUAGUAAUCGCGCAUCAGCCAUGGCGCGGUGAAUACGUUCCCGGGCCUUGUACACACCGCCCGUCAAGCCAUGGGAGUCGGGAGUGCCUGAAGUUCGUGACCGUAUAGGAGCGACCUAGGGCAAGACUGAUGACUGGGGCUAAGUCGUAACAAGGUAAC
rnacentral:rRNA from 1 species